GACGAACGCUGGCGGCGUGCUUAACACAUGCAAGUCGAACGGAAAGGCCCUGCUUUUGUGGGGUGCUCGAGUGGCGAACGGGUGAGUAACACGUGAGUAACCUGCCCUUGACUUUGGGAUAACUUCAGGAGACUGGGGCUAAUACCGGAUAGGAGCUCCUGCUGCAUGGUGGGGGUUGGAAAGUUUCGGCGGUUGGGGAUGGACUCGCGGCUUAUCAGCUUGUUGGUGGGGUAGUGGCUUACCAAGGCUUUGACGGGUAGCCGGCCUGAGAGGGUGACCGGCCACAUUGGGACUGAGAUACGGCCCAGACUCCUACGGGAGGCAGCAGUGGGGAAUAUUGCACAAUGGGCGGAAGCCUGAUGCAGCAACGCCGCGUGCGGGAUGACGGCCUUCGGGUUGUAAACCGCUUUCGCCUGUGACGAAGCGUGAGUGACGGUAAUGGGUAAAGAAGCACCGGCUAACUACGUG
rnacentral:rRNA from 1 species